rnacentral:rRNA from 1 species
CCUACGGGAGGCAGCAGUGAGGAAUAUUGGUCAAUGGACGAGAGCCUGAACCAGCCAAGUAGCGUGAAGGAUGACUGCCCUACGGGUUGUAAACUUCUUUUAUAGGGGAACAAGGUGUUCCACGUGUGGGAUUUUGUAUGUACCAUAUGAAUAAGGAUUGGCUAAACCCGUGCCAGCAGCCGCGGUAAUAAGGAGGAUCCGAGCGUUAUCCGGAUUUAUUGGGUUUAAAGGGAGCGUUGGUGGGUUGUUAAGUUAGUUGUGAAAGUUUGCGCCUCAACCGUAAAAUUGCAGUUGAAACUGGCAGUCUUGAGUGCAGGAGAAGUAGGCGGAAUUCGUGGUGUAGCGGUGAAAUGCUUAGAUAUCACGCAGAACUCCGAUUGCGAAGGCAGCUCUCUGGACUGCAACUGACGCUGAGGCUCGAAAGUGUGGGUAUCGAACAGGAUUAGAUACCCGAGUAGUC